AGGCCCAGUAAGCAGGGUGCAGAGCUACGGUAGCUCUGGUGGCCUUGGCCUGGUCAACCAUGUCCUCUGAGUCUGACUUCUUGGGCGAGAUCUUCUGGGGAGGCUUAAACUUCAGUAAAGUGUCUGGAAAAUGCGAGGUGCUCAAUAAAUGCCAAGUUGCCUUCCUGUCCCCGUGGCCCCUUCCACAUGACACCAGAGUCCCUGGUUAUCUGGUGGCCAUGGGGAAUGUCAUUGACUCCGAGUGGUGCUGGGUACACAGCAGCUGAGCCAGCACAGUGCCACGGAGGGUGGCUAGGAAGAGUUUUACCUCCAGAUGUGCCUCACGCACCAACCCUGCAGCCAGGUGCUGCUCACUCCCUCGGUGAUGGCCAGGCGCUCCAGGCGAUGAGCGCUUCUUUCCACGGUGCGAUAAACCACACUUGGCUUGCCCACUGGUCAAUCAAUGCAUGUUUGAGUCAGACCCAGAAUUUGACCACUGAGAAUGAAGAAUGGCACCAUUAGGAACACCAUGGACAAAUCUGUCUGUCUGUCUGUCUGUCUGUCUGUCUGUCUGUCUGUUCUUUGAGACAGGUUAUCCUUGAACAUCUGAUUCUUCUGCCUCCCAAGUGCUGGGAUCUUAGACAUGCACCACCGUGCCCAGCUGUGUCAGGCUUUGGUUGACCCUCAGCCCCCUCCAGUUCUCUUCUGGGUCAGUGUGUAGCAGCAAUUACAAGGCCCAUUUAUCAGUGUUGACCUCAGGAACUGCCAACUGACACUGUUAAAGGCAGCCAUGGCAUCUAAGUGUGUGAUGACACACACCUGAGCACUUGGGAGGCAGAGGCAGAGGCAGAGGCAGAGGCAGAGGCAGA